GGUCAAGCGAACAAGUGCAUGUGGUGGAUGCCUUGGCGAUCACAGGCGAUGAAGGACGCGGUAGCCUGCGAAAAGCUACGGGGAGCUGGCAAACGAGCUUUGAUCCGUAGAUGUCCGAAUGGGGAAACCCACUCCUUUUGGAGUAUCCAUGACUGAAUACAUAGGUCAUGUGAAGCGAACGCGGUGAACUGAAACAUCUAAGUAACCGCAGGAAAAGAAAUCAACCGAGAUUCCCAAAGUAGUGGCGAGCGAAAUGGGAAGAGCCUGUACUCUUUAUUUGUAUUGUUAGCCGAACGCUCUGGAAAGUGCGGCCAUAGCAGGUGAUAGCCCUGUAGGCGAAAACAGUAUGAAAGAACUAGGUGUACGACAAGUAGGGCGGGACACGUGAAAUCCUGUCUGAAGAUGGGGGGACCAUCCUCCAAGGCUAAAUACUCGUGAUCGACCGAUAGUGAACCAGUACCGUGAGGGAAAGGUGAAAAGAACCCCGGGAGGGGAGUGAAAUAGAUCCUGAAACCGCAUGCAUACAAACAGUCGGAGCCUCGUAAGGGGUGACGGCGUACCUUUUGUAUAAUGGGUCAGCGACUUACGUUCAGUAGCAAGCUUAACCGAAUAGGGCAGGCGUAGCGAAAGCGAGUCCGAAUAGGGCGUUCAGUUGCUGGGCGUAGACCCGAAACCAAGUGAUCUAUCCAUGGCCAGGAUGAAGGUGCGGUAACACGUACUGGAGGUCCGAACCCACUAACGUUGAAAAGUUAGGGGAUGAGCUGUGGAUAGGGGUGAAAGGCUAAACAAACUUGGAAAUAGCUGGUUCUCUCCGAAAACUAUUUAGGUAGUGCCUCGUGUCUCACCUUCGGGGGUAGAGCACUGUCAUGGUUGGGGGGUCUAUUGCAGAUUACCCCGCCAUAGCAAACUCCGAAUACCGAAGAGUGCAAUCACGGGAGACAGACAUCGGGUGCUAACGUCCGGUGUCAAGAGGGAAACAACCCAGACCGCCAGCUAAGGUCCCCAAAUAUGGCUAAGUGGGAAACGAAGUGGGAAGGCUAAAACAGUCAGGAGGUUGGCUUAGAAGCAGCCACCCUUUAAAGAAAGCGUAAUAGCUCACUGAUCGAGUCGUCCUGCGCGGAAGAUGUAACGGGGCUAAGCCAUAUACCGAAGCUGCGGAUGCGAGCUAGUCUCGCAUGGUAGGAGAGCGUUCCGUAAGCCUGCGAAGGUGCAUUGUAAAGUGUGCUGGAGGUAUCGGAAGUGCGAAUGCUGACAUGAGUAGCGAUAAAGGGGGUGAAAGGCCCCCUCGCCGUAAGCCCAAGGUUUCCUACGCAACGUUCAUCGGCGUAGGGUGAGUCGGCCCCUAAGGCGAGGCAGAAAUGCGUAGCUGAUGGGAAGCAGGUCAAUAUUCCUGCACCAUUGUUAAAUGCGAUGGGGGGACGGAUCGCGGAAGGUUGUCCGGGUGUUGGAAGUCCCGGUCGCUGCAUUGGAGAAGGCGCUUAGGCAAAUCCGGGCGCGGAAUUCAAGGGUGUGGCGCGAGCUUCUUCGGAAGCGAAGCAAUCGGAAGUGGUUCCAAGAAAAGCCUCUAAGCUUCAGUUUAACAGUGACCGUACCGCAAACCGACACAGGUGGGCGAGAUGAGUAUUCUAAGGCGCUUGAGAGAACUCGGGAGAAGGAACUCGGCAAAUUGGUACCGUAACUUCGGGAUAAGGUACGCCCCUGUAGCUUGACUGGCCUGCGCCAGAAGGGUGAAGGGGUUGCAAUAAACUGGUGGCUGCGACUGUUUAAUAAAAACACAGCACUCUGCAAACACGAAAGUGGACGUAUAGGGUGUGACGCCUGCCCGGUGCCGGAAGAUUAAAUGAUGGGGUGCAAGCUCUUGAUUGAAGUCCCGGUAAACGGCGGCCGUAACUAUAACGGUCCUAAGGUAGCGAAAUUCCUUGUCGGGUAAGUUCCGACCUGCACGAAUGGCGUAACGAUGGCCACACUGUCUCCUCCCGAGACUCAGCGAAGUUGAAGUGUUUGUGAUGAUGCAAUCUCCCCGCGGCUAGACGGAAAGACCCCAUGAACCUUUACUGUAGCUUUGCAUUGGACUUUGAACCGAUCUGUGUAGGAUAGGUGGGAGGCUAUGAAACCGGAACGCUAGUUUCGGUGGAGCCGUCCUUGAAAUACCACCCUGGUUUGUUUGAGGUUCUAACCUUGGCCCGUGAUCCGGGUCGGGGACAGUGCAUGGUAGGCAGUUUGACUGGGGCGGUCUCCUCCCAAAGUGUAACGGAGGAGUACGAAGGUACGCUAGGUACGGUCGGAAAUCGUGCUGAUAGUGCAAUGGCAUAAGCGUGCUUAACUGCGAGACCGACAAGUCGAGCAGGUGCGAAAGCAGGUCAUAGUGAUCCGGUGGUUCUGUAUGGAAGGGCCAUCGCUCAACGGAUAAAAGGUACUCUGGGGAUAACAGGCUGAUACCGCCCAAGAGUUCAUAUCGACGGCGGUGUUUGGCACCUCGAUGUCGGCUCAUCUCAUCCUGGGGCUGUAGCCGGUCCCAAGGUAUGGCUGUUCGCCAUUUAAAGAGGUACGUGAGCUGGGUUUAAAACGUCGUGAGACAGUUUGGUCCCUAUCUGCCGUGGGCGUUGGAUAUUUGAAGGGGGCUGCUCCUAGUACGAGAGGACCGGAGUGGACGAACCUCUGGUGUACCGGUUGUCACGCCAGUGGCAUCGCCGGGUAGCUAUGUUCGGAAGAGAUAACCGCUGAAAGCAUCUAAGCGGGAAACUCGCCUUAAGAUGAGAUAUCCCCGGGGACUUGAUCCCCUUGAAGGGUCGUUCGAGACCAGGACGUUGAUAGGUCAGGUGUGUAAGCGCAGUAAUGCGUUCAGCUAACUGAUACUAAUUGCCCGUAAGGCUUGAUCCUA
rnacentral:rRNA from 1 species